AAUCAACGCUGGCGGCGCGCUUAACACAUGCAAGUCGCACGAGAAAGGGAGCAAUCCUGAGUAAAGUGGCGUACGGGUGAGUAACACGUGGGAAUCUACCUCUUGGCGGGGAAUAACCCUGGGAAACCGGGGCUAAUACCGCAUAAGCUCGUGAGAGGAAAGCAGCGAUGCACCGAGAGAGGAGCCCGCGGCCGAUUAGCUAGUUGGUGGGGUAAUGGCUCACCAAGGCGAAGAUCGGUAGCCGGCCUGAGAGGGCACACGGCCACACUGGCACUGAAACACGGGCCAGACUCCUACGGGAGGCAGCAGUGGGGAAUCUUGCACAAUGGGGGAAACCCUGAUGCAGCGACGCCGCGUGAGCGAUGAAGCCCUUCGGGGUGUAAAGCUCUUUCGACAGGAACGAUAAUGACGGUACCUGGAGAAGAAGCUGCGGCUAACUACGUG
rnacentral:rRNA from 1 species